GGGAUAUGGAAUUAGGGCUGCGGGAUUGGGAUUGGAAUUAUGGUGUGGAAUUGGAAGGUGGGGUAUAGGAUUGGGGGUGUGGUGUCAGGGUUGGGAUAAGGUCUGGGAUAUGGCAUUAGGGAUAUGGGAUUGGGAUUGGGAUGUGGGGUUGGGAUGUGGGGUAUAGGAUUCGGGGUGUGGGAUUGGGAUUUGCAUUGGGAUGGGGGCUGUGAGGUUGGGGUUGGGGUUGGGGUCGGGAUAUAGGAUUAGUGAAUUGGUAUUGGCAUUCCCAUUGUGAUGGGGGCUGUGGGGCCGGGAUGGGAGCUGUUGGCCUGGGAUGUUGGGUUGGGAUCGAGGUUAGGAUGUGGGAGAUAGGAUGAGGGGUGUGGGAUUGGGAUUUGCAUUGGGAUGUGGAAUGUGGGGCCGGGAUGUGGUCUGUUGGGGUGGGAUGUGGGCUGUGGGGCCGGGAUGGGGGUUGGGAUUGAGGUCGGGAUGUGGGAUGUGACGAAACGUGCCCUGUUCACAGGUGGGGCGUGUGGUGUUGUGGGGAAGCGGCGCAGAUGGAAAGCUGCCGUGUGGAGCCCCACAGGACGAGUUGCAGAGGCCCCUGAAGGAAAAGGAGAAGGAAAGGCAUUUGCAGAGGGAAAGGCUGUCCCGCUGGCCUUAGGUGUUGCUGAACGGGAGGGGUGGCCAAUGCUUUCUCUUUCCACUGCCUCACGGAUGGUGGC
ensembl:lncRNA